ACCAACCUGUUGGGGGCUGGUAAGAGAUGUCGGAAUGGAGAGGUAAAGGUGAUUGGGGGCUGGCAGGGGACACCUGAAUGGAGAGGUGACACCCCAGGAGUUGGGACCCGCCUCUUCUGGGAUAGCUUGCGGGCUCAGCAGUGAGCUACGCGGCAAUCCAGGAUGAGGUGCUGGGGAGGCUCCGCUAAUGGGUUGUUGGCACCGCCUUCGGGGUGGAUCCUUGUAGCCUUCAUGACCCGCCCUCAGAUUAUAUAACGGGCUGAGAACACAGGAUCGGGGGAUCCUCCACAAUAAAGAGCAUACACCACACUCGCGUCCUGUCUGGUCCUUGAGCCCACCUUUCCCCCAGGGUGGGUCCGGAGACGUCCGAAGCCUAGCUCCCAGGGAAGGAGACGUGCCUGAAGGGCCCAGCCCGGGUCAAGUGGCGCCCGAACAGGGACUUAAGUUCCUCUUCGGCGACCCCGCCAGGUACGGGGUUAUCUCUUUGUGUCUCCACAGAAUGAAAAGGACAAUGAUAAAGGAAGAUGGAUCCCUGUCCGGUGGGCCAGAGAACUUGAGAAAAAAGAAGAAAAGGCGUACCAGGAGAAGGAGACACAAGAGGGGGCGCCGCGGGGACUGCCGUGUGUGCCGCCAGAGGAGAUAUAGAAACGAACCUUCUUGCGUUUCCACUCCGGUUAUUUUCUUUCCACAGGCACGGGAGGGAUAAUGAGGCCUGAAAUAUGGCUCUCUCUUUUGCUGGUCGUUUGGGAAUGUCCAACCCCUGUGAUCAACCUACACCAAUUUAACACUACCUGGGUCUCGUUGGAGACAGAGACACCUAUGUACUGGGCACUAACACCACAUCUGCCCAUUUUUCAACUCAUGACGUGGAAUCACGAGGCAAGCCCACUUUUCCUCUUUGGCAACGCAUCUUGGUUAACGGGUGACUUGGGACUGGCGGUUCCUAUUAUCUCCAAAACUGGAAUGAACGUUACUUGGACUUCUGCGGCGUUGCCUCUGUGCUUAUCCCCUUCAAAUAUCUCGAAUAGCAGCAUUUCUCAACUGUGCUAUCCUCUUUCAAAUUGGUCUAUUUCCCAACCUUCCUUUCUAGAAUCAGAGUUAUUGAAUGCUACUUAUGGUUCCUUAAACAUAACUCUCGCCUCUUUGAUUCGCAAUUUCAGUAAUAACCAUACUGUUACUACUUCGCUACCCCCUUGUCCACUUACCGCCCCUCAUAUAUUCGAACCCCUUCAUGCUUGUAGUACAGGAAACUUUAGUAGGUUGAACAAUACUAACGAAUCUAUAUGGUUUGCCGAUAAUUAUCCACAAACUUCUAUACUUCCUGCACCCAUCCCCUUU